rnacentral:rRNA from 1 species
UCCUUAGAUGUUCUGGGCCGCACGCGCGCUACACUGAUGCAUUCAACAAGCCUAGCCUUGACCGAGAGGUCCGGGUAAUCUUUGAAACUGCAUCGUGAUGGGGCUAGAUUGUUGCAAUUAUUAAUCUUCAACGAGGAAUGCCUAGUAAGCGUGAUUCAUCAAAUCGCGUUGAUUACGUCCCUGCCCUUUGUACACACCGCCCGUCGCUCCUACCGAUUGAAUGUGUUGGUGAGGAGCUCGGAUUGGCAGCAGUUGGUGGUUCGCCACCGGCUAUUGCUGAGAAGUCCUCCAAACCGCCCCAUUUAGAGGAAGGAGAAGUCGUAACA